CCCCUCCCCCAGCCCCAGCCCGGAGCCUUAACCCCGUCGUGGCUGCGCCGCCGGCGGCAGGGGUCACCGCCCUGCGGGCGGGCAAGCGGGCUGGUGUGCUCCGGUCCCGGUGGUAGUUAACGGCACAGGCGGGCAUCCAGACUUUGGCCUGGUCAUGGAAAUUCUUCUGAAUUUUCACAGCCACCCUUCAUGUUGCUUUCUCAAGCUCCAGAUUCUCAGAUCCGCAUGCCCGGAAGGCUGCAGGUGAAGACCCAGGAAAAGCUGUUGAAGAUUCUGCUCACUCCCAGUCUAACCACUGUUCUUGCACUGGAGGUAUUGAAAAUGUCAGUUUGCAUUCAAUAGUUACAGCCAUUCACUAAACACCUACAUUGUAAUGGUCCUGGAGAUUAAAGCCACAUUCUAUGAGCUGGAGAAGCCCAGCCAGGGAGGCAGGCCUG